CCUGGUGGCUCAGAUGGUAAAGAAUCUGCCUGCAAUGCAGGAGACCCAGGUUCGAUCCCUGGGCCAGGA
rnacentral:tRNA from 1 species